rnacentral:misc_RNA from 1 species
UUAAGUUCAGCGCGUAUUCCUACCUGAUCCGAGGUCAACCUUGAGAAGUUUCCUGCUGAGAGGAGAAGACCGGGUCCCGGGCGCCCUUGUCCGGUACGUGCUCGGUGAGAAGCUCAGUGUACCGGGGGAACCACAGGCCGCCGUCAUUGUCUUUCGGAGGGGUCGAUCGCUCGACCGGCCGUCCAACACCAAGCACGGGG